UACGAGGGGGGCGAGCGUUGUUCGGAAUUAUUGGGCGUAAAGGGUGCGUAGGCGGUUUGGUAAGUCUUAUGUGAAAUCUAUGGGCUCAACUCAUAGACUGCAUGAGAAACUGCCGGGCUUGAGUAUGGGAGAGGUGAGUGGAAUUCCUGGUGUAGCGGUGAAAUGCGUAGAUAUCAGGAGGAACCCCAGAGGCGAAGGCGGCGUCCUGGCUCACAACUGACGCUCAUACACGACAGCAUGGGGAGCGAACGGG
rnacentral:rRNA from 1 species